rnacentral:rRNA from 1 species
AGGAUGGGACUGUACGGUAUCAGAUAGUUGGUGGGGUAAUGGCCUACCAAGUCAAUGACGCCUAACUGGUUUGAGAGGAUGAUCAGUCACACUGGAACUGAGACACGGUCCAGACUCCUACGGGAGGCAGCAGUGGGGAAUAUUGCACAAUGGAGGAAACUCUGAUGCAGCAACGCCGCGUGGAGGAUGACACAUUUCGGUGCGUAAACUCCUUUUAUAUAGGAAGAUAAUGACGGUACUAUAUGAAUAAGCGCCGGCUAACUCCGUGCCAGCAGCCGCGGUAAUACGGAGGGCGCAAGCGUUACUCGGAAUCACUGGGCGUAAAGAGCGUGUAGGCGGAUAGAUAAGUCAGAAGUGAAAUCCUAUGGCUCAACCAUAGAACUGCUUUUGAAACUGUUUAUCUAGAGUGUGGGAGAGGUAGAUGGAAUUUCUGGUGUAGGGGUAAAAUCCGUAGAGAUCAGAAGGAAUACCGAUUGCGAAGGCGAUCUACUGGAACAUAACUGACGCUGAGACGCGAAAGCGUGGGGAGCAAACAGGAUUAGAUACCCUGGUAGUCCACGCCCUAAACGAUGUACACUAGUUGUUGCGAGGCUUGACCUUGCAGUAAUGCAGUUAACACAUUAAGUGUAC